rnacentral:rRNA from 1 species
UACGUAGGGUGCGAGCGUUGUUCGGAAUCAUUGGGCGUAAAGCGCGUGUAGGUGGUUAUGUAAGUCGGGUGUGAAAGCCCUCGGCUCAACCGAGGAAGUGCACUCGAAACUACAUAGCUAGAGGACGGUAGAGGAAGGUGGAAUUCCUAGUGUAGAGGUGAAAUUCGUAGAUAUUAGGAGGAAUACCGGUGGCGAAGGCGGCCUUCUGGGCCGUUCCUGACACUGAGACGCGAAAGCGUGGGUAGCAAACAGG